rnacentral:rRNA from 1 species
CCUACGGGAGGCAGCAGUGGGGAAUAUUGGACAAUGGGCGAAAGCCUGAUCCAGCCAUGCCGCGUGUGUGAAGAAGGCCUUCGGGUUGUAAAGCACUUUCAGUGGGGAAGAAAGCCUUGGGGCUAAUACCCUCGAGGAAGGACAUCACCCACAGAAGAAGCACCGGCUAACUCCGUGCCAGCAGCCGCGGUAAUACGGAGGGUGCGAGCGUUAAUCGGAAUUACUGGGCGUAAAGCGCGCGUAGGCGGUCUCAUAAGCCGGUUGUGAAAGCCCCGGGCUCAACCUGGGAACGGCAUCCGGAACUGUCAGGCUAGAGUGCAGGAGAGGAAGGUAGAAUUCCCGGUGUAGCGGUGAAAUGCGUAGAGAUCGGGAGGAAUACCAGUGGCGAAGGCGGCCUUCUGGACUGACACUGACGCUGAGGUGCGAAAGCGUGGGUAGCAAACAGGAUUAGAUACCCCGGUAGUC